AACCCAUGAUGAGGCCAGCACCUGAAAAGAUCCUUGAACAUCUCAUGUGCCUCUAACAAUGUUUUGGACUUUCUUUGCUUGAAUGCUGAGAUCUCCUGUCUGGUCU